rnacentral:rRNA from 1 species
AUGGCGAGGGGAUCUGGGCGGCGAGAUGGACACGACGGCUCGACGCAGCCCCUCCCCGGUACGCCCCUGGAGGCAGCUCGACGGAGAGACGACGCCGUCCAGACCGGGCAGAAGCAGGAGCAACCAUUUCCGGGUCAACAGAUGCCACCACUAAUUGCAAAGAAGAGAGCACAACUGGGAGCAGCUGGAAUGGAAGAAGGAUGCACCGCACAACCGGUAUUUAUAGCAGGCAGCAAAGAAACAGAGCACAAAUUGAAACCAACGACCGCACACGUUGCAGAAACACCCAGAAGGCUGUACAAAAGCGGCAACCGACUGCAUGGGAAAACUAGAAGGCACGGGCGGCAGCCGACUCCAACAAGGCGGACGUGGCAGAGAAAAAGCAGGAGCAGGAAGGAAGAAGCAGCAUUCGAGUCGCCCACAACGAAGCAAUUCCGCGGCGGCAGCAACCCCGAGGACAGACAUGCAAAUAAGAACAAACACAUAAGACAUGCAUAUUGGAAGAGAACAGACAUGCAGAACCAACCAUCCAAAACUAUCCGCCGCCUCCCUCCCGCACUCGCGCCUCCUCCGCCCUCCCAGCUCGCCGCCGCCUCCCCUUCCCUCCCGCGCGCCUCCUCUCCCCUCCCCUCCCGCCUCCUCUCCUCCCACCCACAUCGCCGCCGCCGCCACCCACCGCCUCGAACCGCGCCGGAGCAGCAGCAGCAGGACAAGGCGACGCAACAGCAGGCCUUGGGCGACGAGCAGCAGCGGAGGGAGGACGAGGAGCACGACGGCGGCGGCGGCAGGGAGCGGCAGCAGCAGGCCAAGGCGGCGCUGCCCUUCUCCGCCAUGUGCGUGCGGAUCUCCCGCGACUCCUACCCCAACCUCCACGCCCUCCACAACGCCUCCAACGACAGCCUCACCAACGCCGCCUACAUCAAGAUCUCCGAGGGCGACUUCGGAUACGUCCUCGACGACGUGCCCCACCUCGCCGACUACCUCCCCGUGAGCAGUCACCCCUCCCCUCCCCUGCUCCUCCUCGCUCGACCGCUCGUCGGCUCGUGGCGAUGGGUUCUGUGCGGUGCAGCUUUAGCUAGCGACUGUCAGUGGGGCGGGCGUGAGCAGCGAAAUUGUCCGGCGCGGGGGAUUACCCAUUUUUUGGUGUGCAAGCCUGAGAGCCUGCAAAGGACGGCCUGCCGUCAAGUUGGACAGCAGAAUCGUAGAACUCUACAAAGUGUAUGGGUUGGCCAGCUCUUAAGCAAAUUCGCCAUAGUGACCGCCGAUGGCCUACAAGUCCAUCUCUUUCUCAAGCUCGAUUGCCUCUUAUUUUGCAGACUGAAAGAUUGCCGCGCGCCACCCGCCCUUCGCAUGUGUAAUCACUUAAAGCCUAUGGUAGCAUCAUUUAUAGAGUUUAAGACCGCCCCGCAUGAUUUGAUGAUAUUCUUUUUUGAGCAUCGGCUCUGGAGCAUUCUUACUCACCACCGGGUACUAAUCUUGAUGCCAGGGCUGGCUGCCUUGUGUACCAUGGUGAGAAGUAGCACCAUGCCAUAUUGGCUCCCUCUGCCGAGCACCAUGGAGGAGGUGAGCGGUUGUCUGUAG